rnacentral:rRNA from 1 species
CCUACGAGAGGCUGCAGUGAGGAAUAUUGGUCAAUGGGCGCGAGCCUGAACCAGCCAAGUAGCGUGAAGGAUGACUGCCCUACGGGUUGUAAACUUCUUUUAUAAAGGAAUAAAGUGAGGCACGUGUGCCUUUUUGUAUGUACUUUAUGAAUAAGGAUCGGCUAACUCCGUGCCAGCAGCCGCGGUAAUACGGAGGCUCCGAGCGUUAUCCGGAUUUAUUGGGUUGAAAGGGAGCGUAGAUGGGUUGUUAAGUCAGUUGUGAAAGUUUGCGGCUCAACCGUAAAAUUGCAAUUGAUACUGGCAGUCUUGAGUACAGUUGAGGUAGGUGGAAUUCGUGGUGUAGCGGUGAAAUGCUUAGAUAUCACGAAGAACUCCGAUUGCGAAGGCAGCUUACUAAACUGCCACUGACAUUGAUGCUCGAAAGUGUGGGUAUCAAACAGGAUUAGAUACCCGGGUAGUC